UGCUCUGCUCCUGCAGUCCUCAGCAGCUUGUUUAGUCCGGGUUUGUUAACAGGGUUGCCCUCCUCCUCCUUUCCCUUGCUUCCUCCUCUUUCUCUGCACCGAGGGCAAAAGCUGUAGCUGAUUUCAUCCUCAGGAAGAAGUUCUCCUGUUGUGGGCUGGACAGUGCAGUUAAGCUUCGUGUCACGGAUAAGAGGAAAAGGAAAACAGGGAGAGGGGAAGCGACGCAAACUGUAAAAACAGUGAAGGAAUCCUCCAGCUCCCCGGGGAGCUCAGGAAUGGGAAUGAGGGCCUACAUUUUCCAAUGGGAAGCACCAAGGGAAAAAUAAACUCUCCAGAUGAGCCGGAGAGCUCUUAGAAGCAGGCAGGUCCACACCACCAGGAGCAGAGCACCUGGAUGACCACAACCUUUCUACGUUGGUGAAGCUCCAUGGUGUGUGACGUAUGUGAGGACUGAGGCACAGCACAAGGUCUCUGUUGUUCCUUGUAGCUCUCCUGGGGCAGUGCUUACAGGCAGUGAAUUGAGGCAAAACUCCAACCAGGGGGAGAAGUAAAUUGUAACCGUACAGGAGAACAUUGUCCAGUGCAGCUGGCCCAGAUGAUGCAUUGAUGUCCUCACGAAGGCUAAAUCUGGAUGCGCAACCCUUCUCCAAGAGGAUUCCUAUUGCUGAGCUGAGCUCCUCGCCCCUCACUUCUGCUGAGAUUUCUCUGUCAAGGCUGGGACUGAGCACACAGCUGGGCUGCUGCCAAGCUCCCAUUUCGGAGGGCAGCUCGGA